AAAACAAGCUUUUAAGAGCAGAUGGCGGAUGCCUUGCCAAAGAGAGGCGAUGAAGGACGUACUAGACUGCGAUAAGCUAUGCGGAGCUGUCAAGGAGCUUUGAUGCGUAGAUGUCCGAAUGGGGCAACCCAACUAAUAGAGAUAUUAGUUACUCUUUAAUAGAGAGCGAACCUAGUGAAGUGAAACAUCUCAGUAACUAGAGGAAGAGAAAUCAACGAGAUUCCCUAAGUAGUGGCGAGCGAACGGGGAAAAGGGCAAACCGAGUGCUUGCAUUCGGGGUUGAGGACUGCAAUAUCCAAGAGAACGCUUUAGCAGAGUUACCUGGAAAGGUAAGCCAUAGAAAGUGAUAGCCUUGUAUGCGACAAGGCGUUCUUAGGUAGCAGGAUCCAGAGUAGGCCAGGACACGAGAAAUCCAGGUUGAAGCCGGGGAGACCACUCUCCAACCCUAAAUACUACUCUUUGAGCGAUAGCGAACAAGUACCGUGAGGGAAAGGUGAAAAGAACCGCAGUGAGCGGAGUGAAAUAGAACCUGAAACCAUCUGCUUACAAUCAUUCAGAGCCCUAUGAUUUAUCAGGGUGAUGGACUGCCUUUUGCAUAAUGAUCCUGCGAGUUGUGGUAUCUGGCAAGGUUAAGCGAAUGCGAAGCCGUAGCGAAAGCGAGUCUUAAUAGGGCGAACAAGUCAGAUGCUGCAGACCCGAAGCUAAGUGAUCUAUCCAUGGCCAAGUUGAAACGCGUGUAAUAGCGCGUGGAGGACUGAACUCGUACCCAUUGAAACGGGUUGGGAUGAGCUGUGGAUAGGGGUGAAAGGCCAAACAAACUUAGUGAUAGCUGGUUCUCUUCGAAAUAUAUUUAGGUAUAGCCUCAAGUGAUAAUAAAAGGGGGUAGAGCCCUGAUUGGGCUAGGGCUGCUCGCCGCGGUACCAAACCCUAUCAAACUUCGAAUACCUUUUAUCGUAUCUUGGGAGUCAGGCGGUGGGUGAUAAAAUCAAUCGUCAAAAGGGGAACAACCCAGACUACCAAAUAAGGUCCCUAAGUUCUAUUCUGAGUGGAAAAAGAUGUGUGGCUACUCAAACAACCAGGAGGUUGGCUUAGAAGCAGCCAUCCUUUAAAGAAAGCGUAACAGCUCACUGGUCUAGUGGUCAUGCGCUGAAAAUAUAACGGGGCUAAGAUAGACACCGAAUUUGUAGAUUGUGUUAAACACAGUGGUAGAAGAGCGUUCAUACCAGCGUUGAAGGUAUACCGGUAAGGAGUGCUGGAGCGGUAUGAAGUGAGCAUGCAGGAAUGAGUAACGAUAAGAUAUAUGAGAAUUGUAUCCGCCGUAAAUCUAAGGUUUCCUACGCGAUGGUCGUCAUCGUAGGGUUAGUCGGGUCCUAAGCCGAGUCCGAAAGGGGUAGGUGAUGGCAAAUUGGUUAAUAUUCCAAUACCGACUAUGGAGCGUGAUGGGGGGACGCAUAGGGUUAAGCGAGCUAGCUGAUGGAAGCGCUAGUCUAAGGGCGUAGAUUGGAGGGAAGGCAAAUCCACCUCUGUAUUUGAAACCCAAACAGGCUCUUUGAGUCCUUUUAGGACAAAGGGAGAAUCGCUGAUACCGUCGUGCCAAGAAAAGCCUCUAAGCAUAUCCAUAGUCGUCCGUACCGCAAACCGACACAGGUAGAUGAGAUGAGUAUUCUAAGGCGCGUGAAAGAACUCUGGUUAAGGAACUCUGCAAACUAGCACCGUAAGUUCGCGAUAAGGUGUGCCACAGCGAUGUGGUCUCAGCAAAGAGUCCCUCCCGACUGUUUACCAAAAACACAGCACUUUGCCAACUCGUAAGAGGAAGUAUAAGGUGUGACGCCUGCCCGGUGCUCGAAGGUUAAGAGGAUGCGUCAGUCGCAAGAUGAAGCGUUGAAUUGAAGCCCGAGUAAACGGCGGCCGUAACUAUAACGGUCCUAAGGUAGCGAAAUUCCUUGUCGGUUAAAUACCGACCUGCAUGAAUGGCGUAACGAGAUGGGAGCUGUCUCAACCAGAGAUUCAGUGAAAUUGUAGUGGAGGUGAAAAUUCCUCCUACCCGCGGCAAGACGGAAAGACCCCGUGGACCUUUACUACAACUUAGCACUGCUAAUGGGAAUAUCAUGCGCAGGAUAGGUGGGAGGCUUUGAAGUAAGGGCUUUGGCUCUUAUGGAGCCAUCCUUGAGAUACCACCCUUGAUGUUUCUGUUAGCUAACUGGCCUGUGUUAUCCACAGGCAGGACAAUGCUUGGUGGGUAGUUUGACUGGGGCGGUCGCCUCCUAAAAAGUAACGGAGGCUUGCAAAGGUUGGCUCAUUGCGGUUGGAAAUCGCAAGUUGAGUGUAAUGGCACAAGCCAGCCUGACUGUAAGACAUACAAGUCAAGCAGAGACGAAAGUCGGUCAUAGUGAUCCGGUGGUUCUGUGUGGAAGGGCCAUCGCUCAAAGGAUAAAAGGUACCCCGGGGAUAACAGGCUGAUCUCCCCCAAGAGCUCACAUCGACGGGGAGGUUUGGCACCUCGAUGUCGGCUCAUCGCAUCCUGGGGCUGGAGCAGGUCCCAAGGGUAUGGCUGUUCGCCAUUUAAAGCGGUACGCGAGCUGGGUUCAGAACGUCGUGAGACAGUUCGGUCCCUAUCUGCCGUGGGCGUAGGAAAGUUGAGGAGAGCUGUCCCUAGUACGAGAGGACCGGGAUGGACGUGUCACUGGUGCACCAGUUGUUCUGCCAAGAGCAUCGCUGGGUAGCUACACACGGAUGUGAUAACUGCUGAAAGCAUCUAAGCAGGAAGCCAACUCCAAGAUAAACUUUCCCUGAAGCUCGCACAAAGACUAUGUGCUUGAUAGGGUAGAUGUGUAAGCGCAGUAAUGCGUUUAGCUGACUACUACUAAUAGAGCGUUUGGCUUGUUUUU
rnacentral:rRNA from 1 species